rnacentral:rRNA from 1 species
GACAGAGGUGCCAAGCGUUAGGCGGAAUCACUGGGCUUAAAGCGUGUGUAGGCGGGUGCCUAAGUACCUUGUGAAAUCCCCCGGCUCAACCGGGGAACGGCUGGGUAUACUGGGUGCCUUGGGUCAUCUAGGGGCUGCCGGAACAAAUGGUGGAGCGGUGGAAUGCGUAGAGAUCCGGAAGAACACCGGUGGCGAAGGCGGCCUGCUGGGCAGUAGCUGACACUGAGGCGCGACAGCGUGGGGAGCAAACAGG